CACGUAGGGGGCGAGCGUUGUCCGGAUUUAUUGGGCGUAAAGAGCUCGUAGGUGGCUCGGUAAGUCGGGUGUGAAAUUUCGAGGCUCAACCUCGAGACGCCACCUGAUACUGCUGUGGCUAGAGUCCGGUAGGGGAGCGUGGAAUUCCUGGUGUAGCGGUGAAAUGCGCAGAUAUCAGGAGGAACACCAGCGGCGAAGGCGGCGCUCUGGGCCGGUACUGACGCUGAGGAGCGAAAGCGUGGGGAGCAAACAGG
rnacentral:rRNA from 1 species